CACCAGACUCCUACGGGAGGCAGCAGUGGGGAAUAUUGGGCAAUGGGCGCAAGCCUGACCCAGCAACGCCGCGUGAAGGAAGAAGGCUUUCGGGUUGUAAACUUCUUUUGACAGGGAAGAGCAGAAGACGGUACCUGUCGAAUAAGCCACGGCUAACUACGUGCCAGCAGCCGCGGUAAUACGUAGGUGGCAAGCGUUAUCCGGAUUUACUGGGUGUAAAGGGAGCGUAGGCGGGGAUGCAAGUUGGGUGUCAAAACUACCGGCUCAACUGGUAGUCGCACUCAAAACUGCAGCUCUUGAGUGAAGUAGAGGCAGGCGGAAUUCCUAGUGUAGCGGUGAAAUGCGUAGAUAUUAGGAAGAACACCAGUGGCGAAGGCGGCUUUCUGGACUGAAACUGACGCUGAGGCACGAAAGCGUGGGGAGCGAACAGGAUUAGAUACCCCAGUA
rnacentral:rRNA from 1 species